AGUCUGCCCUCAAAAGGAUUUGAUAUAAUACAGACUUGAUGAGUUCUGAUGCUUAAAAAAAAAGAAAAGAAAAAAAGGCAUACAUAUCUUCUUCAGGAAAACCAAAGUGAUGGAUCUUUAUCAAAAUGAACUGAAAGUUGGAGUCUUAAAAAAAGAAAAACAGCUUUGGGUUUUACUGAUUUACUCUACUGUGACGUUUAAAGAAGUUAGUUGAUGCCUCUAUAACUAAUUACUAUGCCUUCCCAAAUCCACUGUUCUUUCUGAGAAGAGAGAACCUAGAGGUAACCACUAUUUGAACUUGGUGUUUAUCAUUCCUAAACAUAUUAUGUCCUUUUAUUACUACAUAUUGUCUAUCAACAAAAUAUAUAUACUAUUGAUUAUAGAUUUUUAAGCUUUAUACAGAUGACUUUUCCACAUAAUAAUCAAAUUUUUAAUUUUUACUCUGUUGACCAUAUACUGUAGGGUUUUUUUUAAUUAAUUAAUUUAUUUUUGGCUGCAUUGGGUCUCUUGCUGUGUGCGGGCUUUCUCUAGUUGCGGCAAGCGGGGGCUACUCUUCGUUGCGGUGUGCAGGCUUCUCAUUGUGGUAGCUUCUCUUUUUGCGGAGCACAGGCUCUAGGUGUGCAGGCUUCAGUAGUUGUGGCAGGCGGGCUCAGUAGUUAUGGCUCGCGGGCUCUAGAGCACAGCCUCAGUAGUUGUGGUGCACGGGCUUAGUUGCUCCGCGGCAUGUGGGAUCUUCCCGGACCAGGGCUCGAUCCCAUGUCCCCUGCACUGGCGGGUGGAUUCUUAACCACUGUGCCACCAGGGAAGUCCUAUACUGUAGUUUUACUUCAUUUUAACUGCAGUUAUACCAUCAUUCAUUUUUAGAGUUAUUUCAGUAACCUUUGAUUACUCACUUACUGCCUUCAAUGAUUAUGCAUUUAUUGAGGCUUUCUAUUUCUUUUUUAAGCCAAUUAUCAUAAAGUUGGUUAUAGUACUCUCUUAAUAGUUUAAGAAACUCAACUACAUUUCUAACUGGCAUGUACUUUUUUUCUAACAAUUUUUUUUAUUUUUCUUUUUUACCAUUAUCAAUUUCUGAUCAGUUGAUUAGCAUUUUUCCCUUUCUGAGAGAAAUUUUGGUAUUCUUGUCCCUUUAUCUUUUUUCAUUAUCUGUAUCAUUAAUUUCUGCCCUUAUAUUUAUUAUUUCACUCCUUUUACUCUCUCAAUAUUUAUUCUGUUUUUUCUUUUUCUAGUUUCUUAAGGAGAAUAUUUAAACUAACUUAUUUCCAGUAUUUUAAAUUAAUGCAUUAAAGUAAUACAUUUAUUUAUGUUUAGUUGUAUUCCCUGAGUUUUGAUAUGUGGUGCUUUCAUUGCUGUUCAUUUAUAAAUAUUUUAUAAUUUCCAUUAUGAAUUACAUAGGAGUACAACUUGAUUUUUCAGUCCCUCAAAUUUUUGUUUUUGUUUCACUACAUUUCCAAUGCCAAUUUUAAAUUUAAUUGCAGUAUUAUCAGAUAACUGGUGUUUUUAAUAUUUGUCCCUUGAAAUUUAUUGAAACUUCCUUUAUAUCCCAAUGCCUGUCAUACUUUUGUAUUUCAUGUAUAUUUAAAAUAUAUAUAUGCGUAUAUCAUUUCUGUUUGUAGUGUAAGAAUUUUGUAUAUAUCUAAUGAUUUAGCUUAUUAGUUUUGUUGUUAGACUCUUUUCUGGUUUUUUCUUAAUUCAUUUAUGAUAGAGUAUGUUAAAAUCUCAAAUAAAAUCUUGGAUAGGCAUGCGGAAGCUUUUAACAGUCACAAUUUUCCUGU